rnacentral:tRNA from 1 species
GUUUUAAUAAUUUAAUAACUAAAAUAUUGGUCUUGUAAACCAAAAAUAAGAAAAUUUCUUUUAAAACU